rnacentral:misc_RNA from 1 species
UAAUAAGAAACUAAAAUGCGCGGAGAUGCAUAAUUUUGAGCUUUAUUGAUAUUUAUAUUGCCUUUUGUUUUAAGUUUUAAAUAUCAAUCUACACAGAAAAAUUGCAAUCAGUUUUAUUGGAAAAUUGAAUGUGACAUGUAAGACCAUCAUCAUACACCUAAAUGGAAGGUCUAACUAAAGACAGCUAUAAUUGAUACUAUCACCUAGACCUGUUCAUGGAACUAACCAAGCUCAACAAGUAUAAAAUUACCAAGCUUGAAUCAGGCCAACCCAACUUAGGCUUGUUAAUUAGGCUUGCUAAUACACACUGAGUCAGGCUUAGAAAAGCACUUUCCUCGGCCCUUUUGA